rnacentral:rRNA from 1 species
AGCAGCCGCGGUAAUUCCAGCUCCAAUAGCGUAUAUUAAAGUUGUUGCAGUUAAAAAGCUCGUAGUUGAAUUUCGGGGUCAGCAGGUUGGUCGUGCCACUGGUAUGCACUGGCCUUGCUGAUUCCUCCCUCUUGAUGAGCCGUAAUGCCAUUAAUUUGGUGUUGCGGGGAAUCAGGACUGUUACUUUGAAAAAAUUAGAGUGUUUAAAGCAGGCAAGCGCUUGAAUACAUUAGCAUGGAAUAAUGAAAUAGGACGUUCGAUCCUAUUUUGUUGGUUUCUAGGAUUGACGUAAUGAUUAAUAGGGAUAGUUGGGGGCAUUAGUAUUCAAUUGUCAGAGGUGAAAUUCUUGGAUUUAUUGAAGACUAACUACUGCGAAAGCAUUUGCCAAGGAUGUUUUCAUUAAUCAAGAACGAAAGUUAGGGGAUCGAAGACGAUCAGAUACCGUCGUAGUCUUAACCAUAAACUAUGCCGACUAGGGAUCGGAUGAUGUUAAUUUUUUAAUGACUCAUUC